CGCCUCUUGCUAAACAACAUGUAUAAGAGGUCCAGCCUGCCCAGUGACUAUAUGUUCAACGGCCGCGGUAUUCUGACCGUGCAAAGGUAGCGUAAUCACUUGUCUUUUAAAUAAAGACUAGUAUGAAUGGCACCACGAAGGUUCAACUGUCUCCUGCAUCCAAUCCAUUAAACUGUCCUCCCCGUGCAGAGACGGGGAUACGCCCAUAAGACGAGAAGACCCUAUGGAGCUUUAAACUUAAGGCAACUGCUAAAUAACCCUUCCCCACACGGAAUAACAUCCAACUAAGCAACAAUGACCCAAAGUUUUCGGUUGGGGCGACCACGGAGAAAAAAAAAUCCUCCUUGAUGUACGAGGCCUUACCCUCUUAGCCAAGAACGACGGUUCUAAGCAACAAAACAUUUGACCACUAUUGAUCCAGUCUUACUGAUCAACGAACCAAGUUACCCUAGGGAUAACAGCGCAAUCCAUUUCGAAAGUUCCUAUCGACAAAUGGGUUUACGACCUCGAUGUUGGAUCAGGGCAUCCCAGUGGUGCAGCCGCUACUAAAGGUUCGUUUGUUCAACGAUUAAAGCCCU
rnacentral:rRNA from 1 species